rnacentral:sRNA from 2 species
AUCCUCUACAGACUCUUCAUCUCUCCCCUUUCCACCAGCGACCCUCUGCCCCCCAAACGCGACCCAAAUACUCCGCUCCCCAACUCUAGUCACAACCCCCUCCGGGGCCUUAUCCUUUCUCUCCUCCUCCUUUGAUCCUCUUGCCCUACCGCCACCACCCCGAGUUCCCGCCGCCACAUCCUCAACUCUCACGACAUCGCCCACCCUCAUCCCAUGAGCGCCCAACCUCUGCGCUCCACCAUCACCGUUCCCACCAUCACCAUUGCUAUCCUUUCCACCCCUCGCCCCAGAUCCAAUUGCACUGUCCACGCCGAAUUCGCCUACCUCACGUCCACCCAUUCCCGUCCGACAAUUGAUGAGAACAAGGCCUAUGAGUGCAUAGCCUGCGGCUUGCA